UCGCGAUAUCUUUCGAGUUUCGAAGAUCGUUUCGCGAUUACCGCGCAAGUUGACGUGGUCGGUUUAUAUUAUAAACGGGACGUUGUCCAUAACGGAGAAGAGCAUAUCCCGACGAGAGAGUAGCAUAUUGAACGCGACGCUUUUCUACCUAUCGAAAACCGCGAAUGCUUUUAAUCCCUUUAACGAGACGACACUUCGCCGGCUUCGAAUGUGAACGUCACUCUGAUAUGAAAUCGAGGCAACUUAUCGCGAGAUACCGCGUUUUUCGCGUUCUCGCGAGCAUAACAGUCCUUGACGAUCUUUCAGAGGUCGCGAUUAAAAG